GCCACAGCACCAGAAAGAUUCCUAGUCCUCCACUCCUCCUCCACUUGAGAGUGCCCCACGCAGCCCACUGCUGGGCAGAGGCCGCGCGCGGCGCCAGCGCCACCACCCCUUUCUCUUCUCCCCUCUCCCGUCACAUCCUCCACCCAAUGUGGCAUAUAAAUCCCAGAUCCAGAUCUCCCACCUCCCUCUUGUUUGUAUAGCCAGGCAGCCAGCCUCACCAUGUGAUCUCUCGCAGGUGUUUCUUGUGUUGUUCCAUCCUUAUUUUGCAUUGAUGUCAAGGUUUUUUUUUUUUUGUCAGACCCAUCUACGGGUGGUGUCUGGGCGCAGUGGUUUAUCGAUCUCUUCCUUGCCUUGUGCUGGUCCGGCCGGGAGUGGUGGUUCAAGCGUUUUAUUGUUGCAGCAGCUCGCAAACAACGCGGGAAUCGGUCGAUAAACCUCUGCAUCCAGCUCUCACUGCGGUUAAGGGCAUGAGCUAGGCAGCAGUGACUGACUGACUGCUGCUUCUUCUUUGCGUUCUGGGUUCCUGCUCCUUCUGAGUUUAUUAUGUCUAGUGUCUCCAAGUUAUGCUUGAUAUUACUCUGCGCGUGAUUUGACCAUCGAAAUACCGUCGUCUUUGUCUUCAUGUACCCUGGCGUUUGCUUGGUCCACGUAUUCUUUUAUUAUACAGUCGAUGCUUACACAGUAACCAUAAAUUAGAUAUCUAGCGUCGCUUUAUGUUUUCUUAUUGUUAAUGGCAUCUUAAUAUUUUGUGGUUCUGAUUAGAUGAUGCUUGCGUAUUUUGGGGGGUAUAGCUAGAGGUAUCUUGGGUAGUGGGGAUAAGUUCCUUCUUCCUUGCUCCAGAAAUUAUGGUUUUGAUUGGAAUUAGGGGGUGGACGCCUAGCGGAUCUUGCUUGCUGCCGUCAUGCCCUUCGAAUAGAUUCCAGUUUGUUGUGGCGGUGAGUCACAUUCAGGACAUGUCUUUUUGUGCUCAGUGUUGGGUGUGUCCUUUACAGCUGGUCGUUAGUGAAUGGACUGGUCUAAACCCAACUAUCUAUCUCUUUAAAUAGGCCCUUGAUUGGGAGGGCCCACGAUAACCUCGUUUGGAGCCCCAGUCACACGACACUAUAAAUAUAGGACUAAGGGGUCGCAGGAAAAACUAACUCUAGUACCUCGCCCCAAAACCUUAGUCCCCAGAGGCCCCCAUCGUCUAGGCGUCGUAGUGUCUGGAAACGCGACAACCUACAGCGGCUCGGAUCCCGAUGCCAGCUGCUUCUCUGCAGGGCAACGGUAUGAAGAUAGCAACAACAACAAAGAGGUGUGUUUGCUCAUUCCUCUCAGUAGAUCAGAUCUACUCGUCAUCGAGGUUUUACUUUCAGUUACGAAUUAGUAUUCUAGAAACUUAGUAAUCGAUCCUAGGCAGUAUAGAUUCUAACACUCAGGAGUAUACCAGCAUACUGAGCAGCUAUGUCUUUUUCUGUUAUAUGCUGAAAAUUGGGUUAGCAGCCAUCUUUGGGUUCAACAAUAUUCAAGAGUCUUAUUGCGGGCAGCCAAACGCAGUCUUUAUUCGAAUAACUGGUGGUCAUUGCAUUGCGCUGCCAUUUCAUUCCUUUUUAUUUAAUCUGGCAUCAUAGUUUUUGUAGUUUUGUGGUUUGUUCUCUGUUUAAGUGAGAGCUAAUUUGAGAGCAAGUGAAUUGUAGGAUUGAAGGGAUUAAAAUCAUCUUCCUAUUCAAAAUUAAAUAGAAAGAGGAUUUUAGCCCCUCGUUUCCUUCCAAUUUUCUUGCUCCUAAACUUGUCUUAAGGGCUUGUUUGGGAGUAAGGAUAAUGGAAAGGGCUUGUUUGGGAGUAAGGAUAAUGGAGGAGAUUGAGGGGAUAUAAUACCUCACUAUUCAUUUUUAAAUAUUGAGGGAUUUUAGCCACCUCUAUUCCACUUGCUUCCAAACAUGUCCUAAAAGAUUAUGUAUUACUCUCCCGGACGAGUUUUUUAUGCAUAAUUUUGUAUUGUUUACACCACAGUUAGAAUCUUCAGAGUAAUUGCUAUUCUUAUUGAUGUGCAUAGCGCCACAAGGCUUCUGUUUGCUGCCAGAAUAUGUGUGAUCGAGUAGGGCAGUAGGCAAACAUGUCCAUACAAAAUGUGUUAUUAUAGGACAUGCUGAUUUCCAAAGACAUGUUACGACUUCGUUUGGCUUUAAUACAUACUGGCUUCUACUGCUUCUAUAAUAUAGUCCGAAUAACUAGCUUUAAUCCGAAGCGGACAAUUAAUUUAUGUUAUGGCUUGACAUUCGUGGUGCAUGGAAUAACGGAGUAAGAACUUUGAGGAGACACAAGAUGGUCUCAAAAACUGUAACUCAAGAUCUUUUUAUCUCUUAGACGUAUUUCCUUUUCAACCAAGAUAAUUUAUUUGCAGACCCCUUUCAACCUUGUUUGGAUAUUCUUGUAUUCACCCUAAUCUAUAUGUAUUGAAGUAGAUUAGGGUGAAUACGAGAGCAUAUGCCUUUGAUGUGACAUUUGAAAUGCCACUCAUUUACCCGUUUCUUUUGCUGUAAACAAUUGCAUAUAUUUGGGUCAGAGACCUUGACCUGGCAAUUAUCAAUUAUUUUAGUUUCUUUUUUUUACGUAUCAAUUAUUCUAAGCUACUGUCAGGUACUACUUUGGUGCAGUUAAAUCUACGGAGGCAAAGAGAAAAGAGGUUCACUUGAGGAAUAGUCUAUAGGAAUAUAUGAAGGCCCUUCUCUGCCUUUGCAAUUAACCUUACUUAUCUUGUGUACAUUUGUAAUUAUGAGAUAUAAGCAGCAGAUUACUUC